rnacentral:lncRNA from 1 species
UGUCCUCCGUGGUGAUGACAAUGUUGGCUUGAUGAUUUAUUCUUGGUUGUGGACACUGGUUUGAUUUGUAUCCUAGUUGUCUGUAUCUAUAACAGAUAGCUGGCAUAGAUCGUGCAUAAGGAUUUUGAGCAAUUGGCUUAGCCUUGCUUGUUCCCUCAUCUCUCCUUUGGAUUUGGUCAGAAUGAACGACUCCAAAGGAUACUCACUCCACUAUGGAGUCUCUGGUGGUAGUGCGGGAUAGUUACUCCUUGAUACAUCUAGCAACAUGAAUAACAUUAUGCAUCCUAACAAUAGAUUGCAGUUGCACCUGAUCUUGGAUGGUUGUCGGAUUCCAGUAAUAAAACGAGUGACUUUUCGAGACUUGAUCUCAUAUAGUUGAUUGUGGGCACCAAGUCGUUGAAACUCCGAAACAUACUCACCCACAGAUUGAUUUUUUUGAUGACAAUUAUGAUAUUAUUGAUAUAGAAACUGAUCAUAAUUAAUCUGAUGGAAGAAACUCGACCUCGAUCAUCCUUUGCAUCUUGCCCAAGUUGCAACUGGUGGUUUGAGCAAAUGACGUCGAGUGCAACGAACUUCUCCCAAGCAAGCUGCUGCACC